GCUGGGAUAGCUCAGUUGGUAGAGCAUGAGACUCUUAAUCUCGAGGCUGUGGGUUCAAGCCCCAUGUUGGGCA
rnacentral:tRNA from 1 species